UGGGAUUGAAUAAACUGGGGUACAAAAGAACAACAUAAUAUUGGGACGUCAUUAAAAAUGGUGAAUUUCAGGGAAUUUUCACAACCUGGGGCUUGCAAAAAAAGAUGAUAACACGCUUGGUAUUUGUUGGGCACUUACUGCAUGCCGGUUGUUCCGGUAAAUACUUUCGAUAUUGAUUCUAUACCCUUAAGAGAAACAUAUUACUGAUAUCCUAAAACCUGUGGCCAGAGGAAUUUGCCUGUGGUUAACUGCUCUAAGAAAGUGAAAACUGAGACUGAGACCUUAUUCAAAGCGCUAAGCAGCAGAGGCAGCAGUUAAACUAGGUUAAUUUGUGGCAAGAGUCUAGCCUCUUACCCUCAGGCCUGCCCAACAGUAAUCCUGAUAUAACACUAGUACACACCACCAGGCCAGUGAUGCCUGAAUGCACAUACUAGGAAAGGAAUAGAGAGGUGGGACCCCACGUACACAUUUUCUGUCUCUCAGUGACACAAUUACUCAUGAUUUAAAUUUUCUUUUAAAUUUCUAUAAUGUAUAGGUACUAAUUUAACAAUGAGAUGAAAUCUUAUUUGCAGACUGAUCACCCACUAAAAAGCCCUGUGCUGAAUAUACCAUUAUUCAUUGUAAUGAAAACUCAAAAGUAGAUCAAAUGUCAAUUAUUAUUGGAUUAGUUAAAUUAGAAAACCUGUAUUUGUUUUGGUAGUUUGCAGGCACUGAAAAAUGAAGAUCACAAAGAUCCCGUGGUUCCAUGAUAUGAAAACCAAAGUAUGAGAUGGUAUGCAUUUUAUGCAUAAUUAUUUGAGAACUUCACUGAAAUCUGUGAGGAAAGAAAAGAUAAAAGAAGUCCUGAAGCAAUCUCCUGCUACCCUCUUCCCCAGCAACAGCCACCCUAGUGCCCUUCUGGGAAUGUGCUCCGCCCUGGGAUGGAAGCAGAGUCUGGAAGUUUGCAGUUCAUUCUCCCCCAAAUCCAUUAGGGGAUUCUCCCCCAAAUUCACAGCCUCAGCGAGGAGCAGGGACCCCAUAGGGCAGCAUGUACCAAUGCUCAGUAGCAAUCCAGGCAGGUGCCAGUGAAGCAAGCCAGAAGAGGUCAAGGAUCAAUGACAGCUGGAGCAGCUAACAAAGGGAGACAGGAACUGGAGAGCCCAGGAAGCAGGAACAAAAUUUGAACCAAACCCAGGUGCUCUGUGGCACAAAAACGUUAGAAGAGUUAAACCAAGGUUAUCAAUCAAAUAAGGAGAAAAGAAGGUGGAUGGGCAGGGAUGUUAUUGCUGCCCUGAAGGACUCCUGCAAAUAGUGCAUUUGAGUGUUUUUUUCUCAUCUCAGCUGUGGAACACCUAUCAGCAGUUCUUGCUACUGAAGAGAAAGGUGGAGUUAAUGACACUAUUCGUAAGAAAAAAAGGGGUAUCAUUGGCCCCAAAUGCUAUUUACAGAAAGCUUUUCAGAAAAGGAAAAGUUUUGCCUAUAAAGAGACCUAUGUAUGGGUCUGAGCCAGCUGCUUACAAGGCUUUGGCUUCCCAUUUCUGAGCAAUUGGUGAAUCUCUUGAGCAAGGACUUCUCAGCCUCCAGGUUAUGAGCAAUACAUUUCUGUUGCUUACAGAUGAUCUUAUCUAAGGCAUUUUGUCAUAGCCUGAACAGAUGGAGAUAAGUGGGAUACACUCGCAGUCCCUUCUGCCAAGUGCCCUGAGCAUGCCCCCAGCCCCACCUGCCCAUCUGCUGCUUCUGUGGUUGCCUCCUUCUCAUCCUAUAGAUGCUGGGAGCUCAUGGGAGGACUCUCUGCCCAGAACUCCACACUUUUCCUUAGCACUUAGAUCAACCUAAAAUCAUCCACUGCCAACUUGUUUGGUGCCCCCUCAAGAGCUCCAACUGCUCUCGUUUGGGCCCUCCCUGUCCAUAUUAGUGUCCUUUGUGAAGGCUGAGGCCAGAACUAUCCUAUUCACCGCGAGUGAGGCUGAGCCUGACACAUGGCGACAACUCCAUCAUUAUUUGUAGAAUGAAUGAAUAAAUAAAAGGACUGCUAAUCUGAACUGAAGUGAGUGAAAACACAGGGCUCAAAUUUUAAAGGAGCAAAAGCAAGAAUCUUCAGAAACACCUUCCACUAAUCCAACCCUACCCUCUUGCUCCCACUCUUUUCUUUCCUCUCCUCUCCAACCUUCCCACUUUCUUCCUUCCCUUUCUUCCUCCUCCCUCCUUUCUUUCCUCUCCCCUGCUUUUUUCCUUUCCGCCUUCGUUCCUUCUUUCUUAGAAGUGCACCUGUACCUGCUCCCAGUCAGUCGUGGGCCAGGUGCUGUAUGCCGCCCACCUCCCCAACUGCUUUUCUCCUCCACCCACAUUUGUGUUCUCAGUUCGCUGACCUGUUACAAGGGCCCAGGCUUUUCUUAGUCUCCUCAAGUCCCCCCCACGCCCCUGUGGAGUCCCCCACAGGCCCACAGGCACCCUUUCUCUGUGGACCCUCUCUGUGACAGAGCCUAAGGUCAGGAUACCCUGGGAAGGGGAGAGUUGGCUCCUCCAAGCACCCAGCUAGGCCAUGCAACUGCAGACACAUCCGUCCUGCUG
rnacentral:lncRNA from 1 species